rnacentral:rRNA from 1 species
AUAGCGUAUAUUAAAGUUGUUGCAGUUAAAAAGCUCGUAGUUGGAUUUCUAGGAAAAGGCCUCAAAACCAAUUCCUACUAGUCCCUUCCGGGACAGUUACUGUGAGAAAAUUAGAGUGUUUCAAGCAGGCUUUUGCAGGAAUACAUUAGCAUGGAAUAACGAAUGUUACUAGAAUCUUGGUUAAUUCUAGACAACGAUUAAUAGGGACAGUUGGGGGCAUUAGUAUUUAACUGUCAGAGGUGAAAUUCUUGGAUUUGUUAAAGACUAACGUAUG